UAAAGGCAGUAAUGUCAUAGUCGAGUAGUACUAAUAAUCCGUAAGCUUAUGUACACCC
rnacentral:rRNA from 1 species